GACGUAGGGCGCGAGCGUUGUCCGGAUUUAUUGGGCGUAAAGAGCUCGUAGGCGGCUUGUCGCGUCGACUGUGAAAACUCGGGGCUCAACUCCGAGCUUGCAGUCGAUACGGGCAGGCUAGAGUUCGGUAGGGGAGACUGGAAUUCCUGGUGUAGCGGUGAAAUGCGCAGAUACCAGGAGGAACACCGGUGGCGAAGGCGGGUCUCUGGGCCGAUACUGACGCUGAGGAGCGAAAGCGUGGGGAGCGAACAGG
rnacentral:rRNA from 1 species